CAUGGACAUACUAGGUUUUUGGUGCUCAAUCUUAACCUGCUGACACAUAAAUCACUUAGCUACAUCCUUUGCAAUGUCUCUUUUCAUCCCACUCUACCAAUAAAUCUCCCACAAAUUGUGGUACAUCUUAGUGGCCCCUGGAUAAAUCGAGUAAUGCACACCAUGCGCUUCUACAAGAAUUCAUUGCCUCAAGUCAUCUACACCUAGC
rnacentral:lncRNA from 1 species